UGUGCGUGAUGCUGAGGCGGGUCCAUGGGGCCAUGUGUUUUUGCGUGAAUGGGCCUUUGGUGAAGCGCGGGCUGCGUGAGGAUGCGCUGGGCUUGGCGUGCUGGUCAUGUGCACGAGCAGGCUGGUUUUGAAGCGCGGGCAUGGGCUGUCCAAUUGCGGGCCAAAGUGCUAAGUUACUUAAUCUUCAAAAUAUUUUCCUCAUUUAGCCCGUCUUGAAUUCAACUUGACGGCUUUGCACUCUUUUGCUCCAAAUAAGACAGUUUUAGGGGGAUUUUCUCCAAAUUGUCCUUUUAUACAAUUUUCUGCAAAAUAAUAUUAAAAGCAAUAAAUUAAGCAGAAAUCAUGUAAAUAAUCAUUAACAAUAUCAAUAUAAAAUGGACUAAAUUAUGCUCUAUCA
rnacentral:lncRNA from 1 species